rfam:Sarcophilus harrisii ctg7180001542823, whole genome shotgun sequence.
UCAAAGGAUUUAUUAAAAUCCCCAAAUUUCAUUCAUACAUUUCAUU